AGGACAGCCAGGCCAACACAGAGCAACCC
rnacentral:piRNA from 1 species